UAGAGGAUCCAAAGCAGGCUCUUCACUGGGAGUGGAGAGCAGGAUGCAGGGCUCAAGCUCACAUACCAGGAGAUCAUGACCUGAGCUGGAGUCGGAUGCUCCACUGACUGAGCCACCCUGGCACCGCACUCCUGCAUUAUCUUAUGCUUCAAACUGAGAUGACCCCCAUACCUCGAUGGUGUAUAGGCGGGGUGACUCAUUUGUCUACAUAUGAAGAGGGAUUCUGAAAAAAGCCCUGAGAUCAAAAUACGGCCCUUGGGAGCUGUCCCCCUGGGGCCAUGGAAAGGGGAGACUCCAGAGGUCUGACUUGUAGCUGUCCUCAUCUGCUCCACAAGUGUCUGUCGCACGGGUCCAGGGGAAGUCUCUUUCCUUACUCCCUCCCUUUCAAGUACCUAAUAGCUCCUCACUCUCCAGUGAAGCUCGCACCAAACACGCCCCGGGCACAGAACUGUCGGUGCCUCAACCUACUUCUCCAGUUUUGUCUCAUGUACUGUGUGUUCCAGCCAAUUUGUACUCCUCUGUUCCCUGAACACAUCCUGUACUUUUCAUCCGGAUGCCUUUGUUCCUGUAGCUCAUUCCACUUGCAACGCACCUUCUCCCUCUGUCGAAACUCCGUCGAAUCUUCAGGACUCACUUCCAAUGCUACCCCCUGCCCCCCCAGAGUGGCUUCUGAUGCUCCAAAGAGGAUGUGAACUCUGUCACUGUUUUCCAUACUUGGUAAUCAUGUAGGAAUAUGCCCUUGUUGCCCUUCUGCAUUAUAAACCCCUUAAAGACAGGAACUAAUAAACCUUCAUUGAAUUUUAUAAAUUUAAUGUUUCAUUCUAUUUGGCACUCUCAGACCUGCGGGCAGUGGUGUUUUGGAACUGAUGUCGGAGGGGGAUUUUUCUAAAUAAAUAAGGGCCAGCUCAUGGGGUUGGGAGAUGGUAUUUGAGCACAUUGUUGGCUUCAGACAUGAAAAGAUUAAUACCUUAAAGUGCUUUAAACGGGUGGCUAACAUGUAAAAUUAAUACCAGUUAACAAAACUUCUCUCCUUUUGCCAUCCAGAUAUUAAAAACAUCCACAACUUGUUUUUAUGCAGAAUUUCCUGCUGCUAAGUAUCAGCUCUAGCCAUCUAGGUGAAUAAUCAAGUGUCAUUUCUAAUAAGUCAGCGGCUCCUGUCAAGAGUUGUGACCAAUUAGAACUCACCCCGAUGAGGAGGUGGCUGCUGGGGUUGCCAAGCAACAGCCAAGCUGGGAGGCACAUUUAGAUGCUCGGUUAGAUUUAACCAGUGGCAAGUCAGAGUGACAUUAUGAUUCUGGCAAAGGAAAGCCAAAUUAUAGCCCAGGAUGGGGUACCCGUGAUGAGGAGUGUGUUUUCUUUUAAAUGCAAAUGGAAAAGGAACAUUUUAACCAGAAUUUAAGCAGUCCAUCAUUAUACUGAUUUUAAUUAGGAGAUUAGGUGUCAGUGGAAUACAACUGUGUUGAAAGAUAAUGGUCUCUUGCUGCUAGAUAAAUACCCAGACAUUCUGCAAAAUGGGCAACUGGUCAGGCAGGGACAAUGUCUUUUUGGACUCUGAAGUAUUUAUUGCCACACAGCCACACUUGGUUAUAAUGACUUUCAUUUUUAUUGUUUGAAAAGAUUAAGAAAUAAACGCAAAUAUUAAAAAUAGACUGCUGCAGGCUCAUGCAGCCGAGAGAAAGCUGCUUGCUGCAACAUUACUGGAAGGCUGGGUCCUGUCCUAGAGGCCCUCGUGCAUGAUCAUCCGGAAAGUGUACGGUGAAAAUUUAAAGGCCAAACUAAACCAUGAUGAAGACUGUAAUUCUGUGAAGCCUUUUGCACUGAAAUGAUCGUAGCUAUGCAUUUACUCAUAAGCUGGCUAUAUCAACUUAAAUUUUUUUAAAUUGUAGUCAUUCUGGAGUAAUAUGUCUUCUCCAAGGCAGGAAAGGCCUGGAGGGAAUAAUAACCACAUCUGCCUCUGCCUUUAAGAUUCAUACAUUAUUGACUGUGCCUUCCUGACAGGAAACAUCUGGAUGAAAGUGAAAAAUUAGGCAGAGAGCUGGAUUCUCGGCGACUGUGAGAGAUACCAGCCUUCCCUGUCGGUCUGGCUUUUCUUUAACUGAGUCCCUAUCCACAGAGAUAUGAUUGGCUCAUUUAGUGUUGAGUGACACGCCCAGCCUGGCUCAGGCUGUCAUGUCUGAAGCUUCCAGGUCUCCUGUAUCUGCUCAGUCACCAUCAGCUUAGUUUUGUGGGUGAAUGAGGCAAUAACCAUCACUUCUACAGUGCUUUGAGGACUGAGAAGACACAAGCCACCAUAUUGGGUUGGAUCCGUGGUCCAACCAAUUUGGAGCCACUUAAAAAUGGCCGCCCUUCAUGGAUUCUACCACGAAAGUCACCGCGCCCCGUGGCCUCAUUUCUCUCAGUAGCUGAGUUUGAUGUUAACGACCCAUGCUUUCACCUACUAAAAACUUAACUGAAACUUAAGCCCGGAACAAGAUUAAACGGAUUUCUUCACUGCAGAUCUCUCCCAACCUGUUAAUAUGUUAAGGUAGAUAGCAAAUCGCUCAGAAGAUGGUUUGCAGUAUUUUCCGGAAUUGUAUGACCACGGGUCCUGUCAAACCCUUUUCCUCAGUAGUAAUUCAUAGCUCGAAAGUUCAUUGUCAUAGAAGUAUAGUUUUGAUGCUUUUCUCUUAAAUGUAUUAUUUUGUAUUUUCUUGGUUACACUGAAAGCCAGCUGCCACUUUUGUGUUGACUUACACAAUCUUAGAAGAAUGUUAGAAACUUAUUCUAAUUGAUGUGAUAUUUCUAAAAUCAGAAGCGCUUAGAGGAAUAUACAAAUGUGUAGAUUUCAUAGUGUGCUCCCUCUUUCAGAUGAAUUAUAAAAUUCAAAAAUAAGAUUAGUGCUAACCUCGGUCCCCAGGGAAUCCCCCUUAUUUAUAUUUUUCCCUCAGAGGAGAAUUAAUUUAGCCCCAGUUUUGUUUCUUAAAAUUAAAUCUAUUUACUUCCUGACCCCUAAUAAAGUUUUACACAACCCCAGGGUUACUCAUUAAUCGUCUUUGGUAAAGAAUCUAGCACAAGACUCUAAAAAUCUCAAUAAAUCUACUGGUUGCCCUUUUUAAAAACUUAAUCUUUUAGGGGACAGGGUGAAAACUCUGGCAGGUCAGCUGGGCAAAAUGCUCUCUAAUAAAAAAAAAUCCUUUGCUUCCUCAGCGGUGCUCAGCAGUCCUGUAACUUAAACCUCAAUAGCUUGGCUGUCACUGGACUAUGAUUUCGGUGGCCUUUUUUUCUGGAAUCAGGGAUGCAGCAACUACAUUUUCACCAGUUCUGCAUCUUUCUGUGUUACCCCUAGCCUUAAGCCGAAACCCAAUCUUCUUUUAAGUAAAAAUAUGGCUUCAUGAUAUAAUGCUGAUUCUAAAAUAACUUUCAAGCGUUGCUGACCCAUGCUGCCUAAUAUGCACACAGAUAAGGACGGUGCCAUCUAGAGCCUUUGAAUAUUAAUGACACUUACAGACACAGGUAGUAAAGGACUCAGACCACCAAGGUGCUAAAGGAAAAAAGCCUCAGAAUUCCAAGGGAAAGCAAAUCUUUAUUUCAAGAAUAAAUUCUGCAGUUUGAUAAUAAAAGUCCCCAAGCUACUUACAAAUUCAGAAAGGAAUGGAGAUAUUGAUAUUUCAAAGCUAUUUCAGGGAAAACGGACUCAGAUGCCCAUAAACCGAGUGGAGAGCAGGCUCGGGUCUGUUGUCCGAGCCUCUCUUAUUGCCUCUGCCCCUCCACCCCAUGUCCUUCUGUGCCUCAUUCUCCUCUCUGUGUCUUUGUGGUCUGUUUUUUUCUGUUUCUGCAUGUAUAGGCUCGUGACUCCAAAGAGAAAGCCAACGAUUUGCCUCCUCCCCUUAUUUAAUUUUUCCUUGAUAAAACUAUUUCCUUUUAUUUUUCUUUUAUCUUAGUCUCAACAUAUAUCCUUCAGUAGAAAGCUUCCUGACUCUUUGAUUCUUCAUUCAUCCAUCCAUUCAUUCAUCCAGCAAAUCAUUGAGUGCCUGUUCUGUGCCUAGUGCAAUGCAGUUAGCAAUAAAGAAAAGAGAAGUAAAGUAAAUGGACUGUUCACUGGCAAUAGCACUACAGAGAAAAAUAAACAAAGCAGGGAAGGGCAUAGAGAGUUCUGGGGCCCAGCUCCUGCAAGUCUGGGGAAGCCCUGAGUCUGAGAUGGUCAGGCAAGGGACCAAGAGGAAGACUCACACCAGUGCUUUCCACUCUGACUCUUAUCAGAAUUGUGCCAGGGAACUUGUAAAACAUACAGGUUCUCAGUCACCCUUAGACAUUCUCAUUCUGUAGGUCCUAGGGUGUCUAGAGUUAUGUAUUUUUAAAAAAUGUUUAUUUAUUUUGAGAGAGCGGGAAGGAGAGCGAGGUAGGGGCAGAGAGACAGAGGGAGAGAGAGAAGCCAAGCAGGCUCCGUGCCGCCAGCACAGAGCCCGUCACAGGGCUGGGACUCCAGAACCGUGAGAUCAUGACCUGAGCCUAAACCAAGAGUCGGACGCCUAACUGACUGAGCCACCAAGGCGCCCCUAGAAUUAAGUAUUUUAACAAGGAUCCUAGGUGAUUCUGGUGCAGCCCUUGGUCACACAGGUUUGAGGACCAGUGACAUAGAGAGCAAAGGCCAGUGGGAGGUUAAGGUCCAAAGAAUGCAUCCAGAAACUUAGAGGGUUAGUUUGGUUAACUAUUGGUUAACCCAAACUAUCGGUUAACUCAGUAUUUUACUGGCUACAUGUAAUAAAGGUGACUCACCUAUGCUGGGCAAGGAGGCAGUCAGGGGCACUAAAGUCUGGUACCCUGCCCUCCUCCCCCGCCCCUCCACCCAUCUUCCCCAGGAUAAAAGACCACCCCCUUGUCAUAGCCUCCAUCCCGUCUACAAUCUGGUGUAGAGUGAUGCUCCCCGCUCAGAGCCCCAAAUCUUGCUCUUUGGAUUCCAAAGGAAGCUCUCUUUGAAAUUAGGAAAACUCUUUUCUCUCCCAAGACUGUUUAACUUCCAAGACCCCUGUCCCAAUAGGACUCGAGAAAGCCCGAUCUGCUGUUCAAGACUGAGCACCGGCCUCCUUGUUCUUCUGGAAGGCACCCCCUUCCUCUUUCGGGAGCAACACGCACCAUUGACUCAGUGCAGGAAAGAAAAUCACAGGGCAUGUGAUUUAAUGUUUGAAAAUAUUAUCUUUGCCACAUAUUUUUUCAUCCUGGUGUUCCUUUCUAUUUCAGCAGCGCUGAACACCUCUGGCUGCUCCUUGCUCCUUGCUUCUUGCCAUGCAUUUCCCUUCCACUUUCUCCUGGACUCGCAGGCUUUUCUUCCCGAGGCUUACUUGUAGGUGUCUCCUCCGCCCUGCACUUAGAUAUGGUUCUCCCCACCACCCUCUUCUCUUCCUAGGUAGACUGCAUGCACUCUGGGGGUGAGCUCGCCCAUGUCUGGGUUUUUGAGGACCAUCUUUCCUGCCGUUCUCUCCUGAGCUCCAGAUCUGCAGUCAACUACUUGCUGAUGCAUCUAUUUAGAUGCCCCACCCCCCACCAAGAACCUUAAAUUCGCCCGGUCUAAAUGCUCCGGAGGUGGGGAGAAGGAGGUCUACUGCUGCCACUGGAAUGGCAUCCUUUCUAAUGGAAACCCAAGAACUUAAGCGUCCCCUUCCGGGUGAACUCCUGGCAGGCCCACGUGACCAGAUGGCAGCGCUACGUUUCUCAAAGGGCGUACCGAAUAGGAAACUGAGACCUAGAGAAGUUGCUCAAGGGGAGGACUUGAUCCGAGCCCGACAGCUGUGGAAGCCCAAGCCCCUCACCACUGCCUGUGCUGCCAUCUGUUCCAACGGACACCCUUCUCCCAGGCCGACACCCCGGUGUGGUGUGGCUCCAGUGCUGAGCAGGUGUGCAAGAGGAAGCAGCCAGAAGCCAGCUGUGCCGCCACUGUCUUAUAAAGGAGGAAACUCAGGGCGGCUUCUUGCUUCGUGGACCAGAACCCCUUCUCCAGCCCAGUUACCAAGUCCAAGUGCAGGCGUUCCGUGGGCAGCCUUCCACGCAGUGGAUUUGGUGGACUCAGCCUCCUUCAAUUUUGUGGCUCCGCCAUCCACUACCCCUGAGAUGCCCCUGCUGGAUCACCUGCAGCCAACUGGCUCAGGGGAAAAGCAAAGAAGAAAAGGUGGAAGCCUUUCCAGAACAGAGGGUGGACCUGAUUCAACAGUGUCUCUCCAGUGGCAAGGAGGAAGCCUGCCUGUCACUCAGUAGGUGUUCACGAAAUGUUGGAGCGAAUGAACGCCCGCCUGUGUUUCAGGUAGCAGCCACCAGAUGGCAACAGUGUUCUUUGGGCUAUGAAGGUAACCGGUGAGCUUUCUGCAAGAGCACCUGAAAUAAAUGGAGGUGGGUCCCCAUAAUCGCGGCACUCGGCUAUUUUUCUAAAACACAUAUCAGUUUAUCGAAAUAACCGCAAAGUCAUUGCUCAAGCCAGACCUUGUGCGAGAGACACAGCAAACAAAAUCCCGAGGUGGGUACCUGUGCACCACGGAGGGCUUGAACCCUUAGUACCAUUCUCCAUGGGAUCUCAGCAUGGUAUCGUCUAACUCGAGGGCCCGAGAACACCCAUUCAGACUCGUGAGCAUUUGACGCUUCUGAAGCCAUCCCAGCCCAACACCCUUGUGGCUGCCUGUGCCUGUUCCGGGUUCACUGGCUCUAAUUUUACCUCCUUAUCUUAUCAGGGUUUUUACCAGUAGACCAGUUUGGCCGGAGAGGAAGGUUUAUGAAGGUUCGUGAAAGAUAAGGUUGGCGGUAGGGAGGGGCCAGCAGAGGAGGCCUCUGGAUACCAGGCUGAGGAGUGUGGACUUUACCCCACACACGAUAAAGUAGCUGGCAGGCUCUUGUGCCGCACGCAUGUGCACGUGCGUGUGCAGGCAGGCGGCACGCGUGUGCAUGAGUCAAAGGGGAGUGGAAUGGGGAGGGACAGACAGGUACCAAACGGUGUCGAGAAGGAUGGGUGAUGGGGCUGGGGGGCAGCAAGGGAGGCCCGCGGGGGGUCACUGUAGCAACCUAAGGUGUGGGGCUGAGGCACCAGAUGGUGGGGGUGGCGGACGAGAGACGCCCAGAUGGAUUCAGGUAAGUUCUGCAGGGAGAUCCACUAGAGGAUUGGGUGAUUGAUUGGGAAGGACGGGGAGAGCCCAGAACCAAGCAAGGAGCUUCACUGUUGGACUAAACCCUGACCUUGUGCAAAUUAGAAGAAGGCCUGUCUUUCCCAGGACACUUGGCUUCUACCUGCCACCAAACUGUCUUGCCUGCAAAGCUCCCAGGUGAAUAGGCCCCUGAGGCAGCCAGUCCGUGCCCGCCCUGCUCCACGGUGGGGUGGGACCCCAGCAUUCCAAGCCUGGCUGCAGGAGGCAGAGACAGUAUUUCUGAGAGAAAUCGCUUAAGGAAAAGAGCAUCCCGAGUCUCAUACAUCUCCAGUGCCGUGGUUCUCAAACAUUAGUGGGCGUCAGACACACAGGGAGGGCUUGCUAAAACACAGGUCGCUGGGGGUCUGAUUGCGUAGAUCUGGGCUGGAGCCUGAGAACUUCCAUUUCUACCAAAUUCACCGGUGACACUGUUACUGCUGGUCCGGGACCACUCUUAGAGCCCUACCCAAACCAAAUGAAUCAGAAUCCAGAUAGGAGAGCAUCUCCUGGACAUCUUUCUUCCACCCACACGUUGGAUUCAAAGAUAGCACCUCUGGGGGCAGCUCAGGUCUGAAGACGCGGCUGUAUUUGAGCUGCAGGAUAUUGGCAAAUUGUUUGGUUCUGAUUGAUGAAUUUCCUCCAUUUCAUCUCUAAUACUCCCCUUUUCCCCCAGGAGAGGCUUCAGCUUCCCCUCUUUCCCUGACAGGAGUACCAGGCUGGCCCGAACUGUCCAGUCCUCCCUAACAAGCAAGGUGACCUGUGUCAAAACCUGCUUCUUUCAUAAUAAGUCCCUGCCACUUUGCUUUUUCUAGCUCUUCUAGAUAUCUUUUAGAGAUUCCAGAAUUUCCUGUGGGCCGGACAUGCCUGUUUACUGCUCACCUGCUGAAAAGGAGCUACCAGUUCCCCUGCCCCCCCCCCCCAUCCCCUGUCAUGAGCUCCUCCUACCCCAACCUGGGUCCCACCCCUGCCCUCUGCAGCCACCCAGUGCUUUGGAGUAGAUGUCUGCCUUAUCUGCCACCAAGGUUAUUUGAGGUUCUGCAGGAACUAAAAAAAGUGUGUCCUUUCUCUCAAUAUGGUAGUAGAAAGAAGAGGUAACAUAAGGUGUGUGUGGGAUAGAAGUAAAUAUGGGUCUGAAAAACCCACAUAAUUAUAUAAUGGAGAGAUACUGCCAAGGUAAAUUAAUAAGAAAACAGUUGGGUGAUGUUUACCGACAAAAUCAGUUUGGGGUGUGUUAUUCCCUGCAUUUCCUUUGUCAAACGAGCUACAGAUUGGAAGAAUGCGUCUCCAAAGAGGCAACCCCCUCAUGGAAGUGGCCAUGUUUUUCUGUCUGGUUCGUCAGGCUACCUAGAAACCAGGGAAAUUGCCAAGAAUUAGGUCCCUGGCUUCCCUGUUCAAGAGCCCCAGUCGUGCCAUGGAAUCAUCUCUAGUCCAGAAUUGUCAAGAAUGAACAGUCAGUUCUCCAAAGAUGUUGAUGUUUUCAAAGACGUGGGAAGAGUCUGUUCAUGCCUUUCUGUCCUUCUCCAGUGGGGAUAAUUUGGCUUUCAGACUAAUUGAAAGGCACAGCUCUUUUUUUGAAACAUCUACUGAGAACAGCUUUAUCCCUGUCACCCACACCACACCUCGGCUCGUGAAUCUUAGACUCUUGGGAGGCAUCUAUUCACCUCAGAUGUGACCCAUUAUCCACUGUAACAAAGAAUGGUUGUGUGUGCAGGGUAUACACAGAUUUGUACCCAUUAGAGGCAAGAAAUGAUGUUUCCCUGUAAAAGGAGAUUUUUAAGAAAUGUCAGUAUUUUCAGGUUGAAUCCAGUUAAAACUAAGUCCUUUCAAAUUCUACUUACGUGAAGUCAAAUUAAGUUCAGAAAUUAAAACCAAAAGGCUGAGAUCAUUCAAUUUAAAUUCAUGUGACCUCAGUCUUUUGAUUUUGCUUUUCAGACUGAUAUAUGUGUAUAGACAGAAUCUUAAAGACACCAAGCUUUUCUUGGGGGACGGAGUAAAAUUGACACAGGUUUUAUAAACAUUUAAUUCUUAUGAGACACGGGCCCAGACUAGCUGGCGUAGUUUGGGUAUGUGUGAUAGUUGGUUUUCACUCUGUUAUGAUUUGCUUUUAAAUAUUUAUUUGUGAAAUAUAAAUCUUGCUAACAUUGAAGUCUGUUCUGAAGCAAUGACUACUGCUUUUGCUGUUGCUUAAUGGAACUGUUGAAUCUUCUUAGAAAACAAAAAGAUUCAGUUAUAUAAACAGAUCAUACUAGUGAAGCAUCAAAUAACAAUUCUAGAGCCUCUGUGAGGCUGGAGCUACGUUCUGCAGAUGGGUGGUAAGUUAGGAACCCUAAGAUAACAGCCUACGUGGUCAAUCAAAAAAAAAAAUGUGAGUGACUCAAAAAUGCUGAGAAAGUAGGGUCUGUGUCCUUAAAUAACAAGCACUCACUUGAAAAAUUGGAAAAAUAUCACCAGUUUCAUCAGUACAUUUAUAGAUUCCUUUUCCAUUGAUCCAUUCCCAUUGCUAAUACACCUGUUAUGUAAUAGAUGCUUACUCACUGUUCUGUCCAGUCCGACAGGUAACGACACUUCCUGGUGGACGGCUCUGAUUUUCUGUCAGUCAGAAUGAUGAUUUAGAAUGUUCAGCUCAUUCAGUAAAACAGACUAGUUCUGAGCGUAAAGGCUGAAGGACAUCAAAUGUACAACUGUUUUAAAUGAUCGCUUUCCCACGAGUGAUGAAUUUACAUCCUAUAUGCUGUCAACAUGAACCAUGACACUCAUGGCCGUGGGGGACCCCCUGUCUGGGGACUAGCUGGGAGAGCACACCCUUUCCUACCUUGAAUGUAUGAAUAAAUUAUUCACAGCUAUAAA